rnacentral:lncRNA from 1 species
CAGCGUUACUAGGAGAAUAUUGGUGUUUUGUAAAAUGUCCGUUGGCAGCAGGGAAGUACUUAGGACGGUAGAAAUCACUGCACAAUUUCUCACACGAGAUCCAUCCUGCUUUUCUCCUCCUAUUCCAUUCAGCGUCCAAUUUAACAUCGAUGUCUAUCCAAGAUAUAUAUACUGAUUAACUCAAUAGGCUUCCUAUCCAGCCCCUUGUCAUAAUCCGGACAAAUGCAAUCUUUGUCCUCCCGGUGUUUUCUGCACAAAUUACAAAACUAGUUUAUUUUGUGUGUCAUGGAUCUCGUUAAGAAGACUGGGCUAGGGUUCCAGUGCUCGGCAGUAAUCAGCUUGUCACCUGAGUAGAGGAGUUUUUGGAGAGCCUCGCCAUCCAUUAGGGAAUCCCUCUUCCAUCUGGAUUAUGCACAGGACAUGGUCCAUGAUAUGAGACUGCCUUGGAUUUUGAAAUUGUGAGAUCUGCUACUGACUGGCAAGUGGCAAACUGAACUAACACAUGCCACAGAAGCAUAGAAAAUACAACCAAGCAGAUGUUUUUUUUUCCAGAGACUUCCUGAAGCUCUGCCUGACACAGUGGGCUUAGAGCCGGCUAUGAUCUCAUGACUCAUUACAACAACAACAUGGUGCUUCUUCAUUUUGCUGGUUGUUUGGAAAGGUUUAAAACAUCUCAGAAGGUACAAUGCCAAAAAAAAAAUGACAGCUUGAAAAAUGGCAAAGUGAGUCUAAGUGCAUAAGUUGUAGUCUUCCAAAUGCAGCUGGUCUGAAGUAGCCUUGGAAGGCCUCCUUUCACUUCCCUGUCUCUCCAUAUCCCUUGAUGGGCAGUUGGGAAUAUUUAUCAAGAGUCUACUUUUUGGGAAAAAGCACCAAGGCUUCUCAAAUGGAAAAGAAAUAUGGGGCUUUAUAAGUGGAGGAGAGGUAAUAAAGGGUUGCCCAGGAAAGACCUUCCAAGCCCCCUCACCAGAAAUUCCUAUGAUUUCAAUUAUAGGAUUUAGAACUAAAUGAAAUUUCAGAGAUCAUCCAGUUUAAUUUCUUCAUCUUACCCAUGAGAAAAAUGCUAAUCUAAUUUGUGGUGAAAAAAGAGAGAGAUGGAUAAUACUUUUUAGGGGGUUGAGGGUAGGAUCAAUACGAUGUCUAGCACAUAAGUAAACCCUUGAGAAA